AUGGCGACGGUCCCCAGCAAGCCGGAGCCCCUCUCCGACGUGAGCGACCUCAACCUCCACGGUUCGCAUGCUCCAGCCACGGCGACGCUCUCCGGCAAGCCGGAGCCCCUCCUGAGCGACCUCAACCUCCAGGACAAGGAGGCCGGCCUCACCAAUGGCCUGGCGGAUUCAUCAGACAAGAACGACAAGGAGGCACCAUCACCUGAGAUUAACUCUGAGGAGUCCCUUGAGGGUGACAAGGUUAUUGACAUAGGUCAGAAGGUUCUCAAUGCGCUUGAUGAUCUGCCUGCUGCUGACCUGGCUCCCUUCCUAGCCUGCGAUGACAUCGAGGGGAAUCCUAACCCGUGGGUUCAAGUGGAGCCUCGCGGACGUCGACAGGGAGCCCAUACUGUUGCACCGGUUGACAACACUGGUGAUGUGGAUGGCCUGGGGGAACAGGGUGUAGAUGAAUUUGAGGAUGUAUUCUGGCUGACAAAGAUUCGACAGCACAGGGUUUCAAGGAGGAGCACCAAGUCCCGCCCACGUGCCUUGGUGGGAGUAAGGAGUGGCCCUGGAGUGUUCGUCUUCAACUACUGA
rnacentral:rRNA from 1 species